CUUGGUCCGGUCAUUGUACUUACAGUUCAGCAGCAGAAAGAACCAGAUGCCAGAGCACUGUGCCGCAUAUUCGUGUUCAAAUCGCCGGAUUGUCGAAAACAGGGCACGAGGGAUUACUUUUCACAAGUGAUGUGUGCCGUGCAAGCUUGGUCAGAGAUGCUGUACCAUCAUCAUUUGAUGAGAGCUCCCACCUUCUAGCUCUGAAAAACAAUGGAGGCCUACUGAUUCCAUCACAAGGCACAGUGAAGGUGCUGAGAGUUGCAGAGAGGGUGAUUCGCCAGGCUUCAGCAAAACAAGCUCCAAAGGUGUCAACAGUCACACACAACGUUCGGGAGGAGAUUGGAAUGGAGGUGGUUUUUCUGCUUGGGGAACACAUUGAAGAAAGACAGUUUGGUAUCGACAACCAUCAUUCCAGCUUGUUGUCAUUGGUUGUGUCCGUGUUUCUCAAGAUAAGGCUGCACCAUAUUGCCAAACUUACCUGUCUUGACCUGCAGAAAGGGAGCACGACAAAGAAGCUCUGCAAAACAGUCCUCUUUCAUUGGUUUUAGCUGUAAAACGUUUGUACAUGUGUAAAUGUGGUUUAGGGCAGGGAUGUCAUGUUCUUGUGUUAACUUGAGAAUUUACAUUUACAUUACAUUUUAUUCUCUCUACAU